AGUAACGCGUGAGGAACCUGCCUUCCAGAGGGGGACAACAGUUGGAAACGACUGCUAAUACCGCAUGACACAUUUUGAAUCGCAUGGUUUGAAUGUCAAAGAUUUAUCGCUGGAAGAUGGCCUCGCGUCUGAUUAGCUAGUUGGUAGGGUAACGGCCUACCAAGGCGACGAUCAGUAGCCGGACUGAGAGGUUGACCGGCCACAUUGGGACUGAGAUACGGCCCAGACUCCUACGGGAGGCAGCAG
rnacentral:rRNA from 1 species